GAUGAACGCUGGCGGCGUGCCUAAUACAUGCAAGUCGAGCGAACGGACGAGAAGCUUGCUUCUCUGAUGUUAGCGGCGGACGGGUGAGUAACACGUGGAUAACCUACCUAUAAGACUGGGACAACUUCGGGAAACCGGAGCUAAGACCGGAUAAUAUUUUGAACUGCAUGGUUCAAAAGUGAAAGACGGUCUUGCUGUCACUUAUAGAUGGAUCCGCGCUGCAUUAGCUAGUUGGUAAGGUAACGGCUUACCAAGGCAACGAUGCAUAGCCGACCGGAGAGAGGGAUCGGCCACACGGGAGCGGAGCCGCCGACCAGGCGCCUGCGGGAGGGACCAGACGCGAAUGGUAGGCAGUAGGCGAGAACCUGGCGGAACGGCGGCAAGCGAGAGAUGGCGGUCUUCGGAUAGUGAAGACCUGUUUUGGGUGGAAAACAUAUGUGUGAGGGGCAGAAGACAUCUUGACGGUACCUAAACAAGAAGCCACGGCUAACUACGUG
rnacentral:rRNA from 1 species